CAUCCUAGAAUUGUAUUCUGUGGAAAUAAUCAUAAUAAAUUAUUUAAAUAUUUCUCAGUACAGGUUCCAGGAUUCCAGAGUCCUAGUUUCACUAUUCCAGCUUGGCUAUCAACAUACUAUACAGCUUGUCUCUGGUUUCCCAUGUUUCAGGAAAGCCCAAAAUAUUCCACCUAUAAUAUGAACCAUGCCUGACACUGGGAGCCAGCAGAGAGUUGGACCAACACAGACGUCCUGGAAGAGUCACCUAGAGCUUAGAGCUGAAGAGGGACUAGGGGUGACAGCAAGCCUGGCAGAGGCCACCAACCUGUGAAGACCCUAACUCCCCUCCUUCCUGCCUCCACGGAAAGAACUAUGAAUGUGGUAGAAAAAGUCCAACAGUCAGAGGAGGAGGCUGGGGCUGGAUGCUUCAGGGCUGCAGGCCUCAGAGCAGCCUGGGGUUUUUAUCCUGACAACAACAGGAAGCCCACAGAGGGUUUUAAGAAUGGAGGCGGCUGGAGCAGGGAAAGGGACUCAGAAAUUCUGAAAAAAAGUCAUUAUAAAUGAAAGGCCCUUAGAGUCCAGAUCUUUUUUGAAACCUACUCAAAUCUGAAUUUGAGGUGAUGUUUUUUAAUUAAAAAGAAAGAAGGGGUCACCUCAAAACCACAUGAAGAAAACCAGUCUGACAGGUUGUUUUUCACAUGCAAUACUACUUUAUCUCUCUGAGGUUAUGAGAAAAAGUGGGGUAAUGGGGAAGAGAAAUUGACUGUUUCAUUAUUAAAGAUUUCCCAUAUGCCAAAAAUCAUGAAGCAACAAUAACAAAUACCCUCAUGCCCACCACCAAGAUUUAGCCGAGAUUAACAUUUACCAUAUUUCUUUUUCCUUUCUCUUCUUUUUUUGAGAAAUAAAACAUUACAGACAUCAAUUGAUUUCCUGUGCAUUUUUCCCCUCCUUCCCUAGAGGUAACCAUUAUACCAAAAUUCUUGUGUAUCCUUCUUGCAUAUUUUAUUUUUAUUUUUAUUAUAAAUGGGUGUAUCUAUAUGUUAACACGUAGUCUUUAUGUUUUUAUGUGGUAUGUCAUUGGUUUCAUAUUGUAUGUAUAAUUCUGCAACUUGCUUUUUUCACUCAACCUGUUUUUGAGAUAUAUUCAUAUUAAUAUAUGUAGUUCUAUUUCAUUUCAUUUAAAUGCUGUAUCAAUAUUGUAUGGUUAUAGCACAAUAUAUUUAUCAAGUCUCCUAUUGGUGAAUAUUAAGGUAUCCCCCACCUUUUCUCUGAUUACAAACAAUACUGCA
rnacentral:lncRNA from 10 species